rnacentral:sRNA from 1 species
UUUCGCUUUCAUUUUGGGCCGAGCUGGAGGCGGCGGGGCCGUCCCGGAACGGCUGCGGCCGGGCACCCCGGGAGUUAAUCCGAAAGCGCCGCAAGCCCCGCGGGCCGGCCGCACCGCACGUGUCACCGAGAAGCUGAUGUAGAGAGAGACACAGAAAGAGACAGAAAGCAAGAGACCAGAGUCCCGGGAAAGUCCUGCCGCGCCUCGGGACAAUUAUAAAAAUGUGGCCCCCUGGGUCAGCCUCCCAGCCACCGCCCUCACCUGCCGCGGCCACAGGUCUGCAUCCAGCGGCUCGCCCAGUGUCCCUGCAGUGCCGGCUCAGCAUGUGUCCAGCGCGCAGCCUCCUCCUUGUGGCUACCCUGGUCCUCCUGGACCACCUCAGUUUGGCCAGAAACCUCCCCGUGGCCACCCCAGACCCAGGAAUGUUCCCAUGCCUUCACCACUCCCAAAACCUGCUGAGGGCCGUCAGCAACAUGCUCCAGAAGGUGAGCCUUUCCUGUCCUCU